GGAAGUGACGUCAUAAUGACAUCAUGGAUCUUGGACGCACGCACAAGCACCUAAAUAUACAAAUACAACCUGGCCGGUCUGUGUAAUGUUGCUGGUAUGAGUAAGCUCUCGGGGCUGACCAUUUGGUGUUGGAUAACCAACGGCUGUGCCCUUCACAACCCUAACUAAGACAGCUUCUAUGUACUCAGAUCUGUGUGGGCAGGAAGGACAAGGUAAAGCAGACGCCCACGCUGAGUGCUGUGGGUAACAGGCUAUGAAAGUCCACCGGAAACAAUUCUAGAAAGCCAUAAUGCUUCUUGGAGGUGCAGGAGAGAAAGGCAGGCAUGCAGGCUGGCCGCUCUCCUCCUGAGACACAGUCAUCUGGCUGAGAAGGAGCGACGUCAACAUGGACGCCGGCAGUGCGGCAGACUGCAAAAAGCAGUGUCUCCCAAUUCUGGAACGAGCAAUUGCACCCUGAUGGUAAGGGCAUAUAAAAGACCGAAGCCGGGAAGGUAGGCCGCUGCUGCAUGCUGAAGCUCUCGUCUCCCUGUGUGUUCAUACACGGAAAUCAAAUCACCAGUGUGAGGAUGUGAGGCUCUGGGGCUUCUUCAUGGGAACCCGCCAUCAUGGACAGGCUCAGUGUCGUUCCUGAACCAGAGCAUGGACCACUUCUGUCACUAGCGCAAGGCAAGAAGGCAUCUAUGAAUGAAUCAUGGAGUCCUCACAGACAUCAAGUCUGCUAGGGCUUCAUCUCAGCCUGUGAGGAAUACAUGUGUGUGUUUAUAAGCCACACAGUUAGGGCAUUUUGUCCUCGUAGCUCCUAUAAACCAGGAGGACGAAGGCAGUGUGGGAGCUCUAACUGGGAUAGCCCUGAAGAGAUCAUGGAAGAGGCAGCCAUCUGUAAUUCUGAGACUCUCCCCGAUGCAGCGUCCACAGCUGGAUCAGACUGGCAUCAGUCGGGAGUCCCCAGCCUUCCACUUCCUGUGUCUGCAACACGCAGUCGUCAGACUCCCAAAGCCUAACGACUCCAGAUGUAUAUCCGUGAUUGGAGUAAAAUGUAAAAUGCGUGACUCUGUAGCUCCUGUUCCUGGUUGUCAUCUGGAAUGAACGAUAAUCCAGAACUGGAAGGCUAACCUUUCAUCCUGAUCUCGAGGCUGGGAGAUACAAGUUUCUGACCUGGAUCUUGGAAUGGAGAUCUUGAGGCAAAGUGGCUAUGAAUCCCAGGAACUUAAGGCAAAGAGAUCUCUGAGUUCACAGUCACCUGGGACAAACAAGUCCCAGACCCAGGCGUGGUGGUGCACACCUUUAAUCUGGGACACACCUUCUGCUGGAGACUUACAUAAGGACAGUGGAAGAAGGAAGAGACUCUCUCUGUUUUGCUUGCCUGCCUGCCUCGUGGGACUGAGCCACUGCUAGAUCCUUGGACUUCCAUUCACAGCUGCUGCAGAUCACUGUUGGGGAGUUGAACUACAGACUAGACUCCAGGACAGCAUCCCAGCAAGAAUUAGUCUCCAAGUGAUGGGGAACUUGAACGGAUCCACUCAAGGCUCACCCAAGUGACAAAGGGCUGGUUCUGCCCAGAAUCCAUCAAGUCAGAAAGAGAGGGUCAGAUGAGAGAGCUUCGUCCAAGCCACCUGCCAACUUUCGCUUGCUGCAUUCUGAAAGACUCAACACUACCCUGCUUGCACCUUUAUUUUUAUGCUGGUAAAAUGCACGCACCGUAAAAGUCACUACAUUAGCCACUUUAAGUGUCUCAUUCACAGCACGAAAUAACAGUCACACUGCUGUCCAGCCACCAUGACCACCGCUUCCGGGGUGCUCUCAUCGCAAUGGCAGGCCCGUGUGCAUCCCACACUGGUACCCUGCCGUUCACCAUGCCCCAGAAGGCCAUGCUCAGUAUAUGACCUUGUGUUCCAGUCCUCGAGUCCAGAGCCUGAACUCUGCUUGAAAUCUGCUCUACACUGAACCCCAGCCCUGAAGCUCAAUACCUAACGAUUCACAGACAGAGCCUUUGGAGAGAAAGUUGAGUGGCUACGAGGACACCUCCUCAAUCAACCUGACUGGUGUCCUUUGGAGUGGAGGUCUGAGGAAAGACACACAGGAAGGCAAGGGUGAAAACGUGCUGGGCCGACACGGUCCGCUCACCUCAGACUUCCGCUGUCUACAGCUCAGAGAGAUGGGAGUUCUGCCCUGUGAGCCAUAAGUCUGUUGCCUUUUAUUUUGCCACACAGAACCCAGGACCUGCAUGUUAGCAUUUCUGGGGCUGGUAAUCGCUGUAUGAUGCAUAUCCCACCCCACCCCCAUCAAAGGGAAUGUGUGCUUGUCCAUGCCUUUAUAUCUCUGUGUCUACCACUCCUUUCACUGGAAGGAGUGACAUUCCACUGUCAGUGUCACCAAAUCGCCCAGCCUACAGAUGAUCAUGGAGGCCCUGUGCUAGACUGCCACUGAAACUCCAUCGUGCUAAGAUGGCCAGCUAAGAGGGAUUGUAGAGAACCAGAGUUCAGUUCCCAGCACUCCCACGAGAUGGCUCCUAAUUAUCUUUAACUCCAGGCUCUGAUGGAAUCCAUCGCCUUCUCCGGCCUCCUCUGGUACCUUCACCCAUGUGGCAUUCACUCGCCAGACACAUGCCGACAUCAAAUAAAUCUUAUUUUUAAAUUAUGGGGGGAAAUGUACUGACUUCCCACUACCGAGCUACCAAGCCCCUUUCUUCUAAACCUGCACAUCUUUCUUCUUCCAGGAACCCCAGUCAUCCCAGCUCUUGGCUAUGAACUUCAAGAAACGAGAGGAAAGACUUGCAGGAUGUGCCUUCUGAUUUUAAACUCUAACACCCGGGCUUCGUGCACUUCCCUGCGCUGGCAAAACCUUCUCUAUUUUUCAACCUUGACCUCGCAUUUGUAAAAUGGGUCAUCUGGAGGGGAACGGAGGAGAGGGAAGUUGUAGAAAUUGCACAUCCCUCACAGGGCCGUUGAAAGGUUCCCGAACACAGAGCUGACUGGAGACGGGACAAACUCACAGCUGGAACAGGUGCUUGCCCACUUCUGCAUCAACAGCACUGAGCGGAUCAUCGAGGAGGUAGAUGUCGGCAUCCUGGUAGACUGCCCUGAAAGGCAGAGAGAAGUCAGACCAGAGAGCACCUCACUGAUCACUGACGGAGAGAUCAUGGCACUCGGCAACUGGGUGUUCAUUAGAAGUACUUAGGGGAUCACUCAAACCAGGUGCAUCGCACGGUAUGGACAUGGCGAGCAGACACCACACGCCCCACCCACUCCUGAAGCCUCAUGAAGACACGUGCAGAGUGCCUGUGGAAAGCAAGUUACCGUGCCAAGUUCACCCGUGCUUUCUGGCCUCCGCUCAGCGUGGCUCCCCGGUCGCCUAUGACAGUCAGAUCCCCGUCCUCCAGAAGUUGCAAGUCCUACAGAGAGAGGAGGGAAGACUCAUGGUGGCUCCGGCACAGCCGUCUUAUGGAAGAAGUUUUACUUCAGAGGCGGGUGGUGGCAGGGGAGAGCGGGCACGUGCAUGUAACCAACAGCAAAGCGCUAAGGGUGUCUCCAUGCCACACCUUUUCUGAGGAUUUAGGGACUUAGCUAUUUUAAAGGUAUGUGCCAACAACGACCAGUGACUUCGGCAAUAAGGAAAAUGAAGUCCUGAAAGCAUUCAUAAUGAAAACUGACAAUAUGAGAGGUUAACAAGACGACGGACAAAGCAUCACGAGGAGUCUAUAGCAGAGCAAUCCUAGCCCCUUUCUGAGAAGACAAUCUGUCAAAAAAAAAAACAGUAAUGAGGACAGAGAUUCAAAGUCAGGGCUGCCUACCCCCAUGGCCCUGGAUUCCAUUCGCUGCCUAACUACUCCAUCCUGGGACAUCUGCUGUGACCAUUCUGCGACUUGCUGACGUUGCUGAGGACGUAUACCAACCUGGAGGGGCAUUGCUAAACGUGCAUCCUGAUUUAACCUCUCAGUAUUUCAUCUCAGACGUGAUUUCAAAUGAUACAUUUAUUUCAAUGACUUCCGAUUAUACUGAAACAACUUAAAGUUGUUAUCAAUGCAUCUAAUAUGAGAGACCUGGAUUUUCUUUCACUUUAGUGCUUUUGGGGGGAAUAAGUGUGGUAAGAGUCUAUAAACAAAAGCCUUUAUUUUACUUGCCUGAUCUACACUACUCACUGAUUUACAGAAGAGCAUUUUAACAGUGAUAAAACUACCAUUUAUCAAAACCCUGCCAUGUCUACAUUAUACAUGAAUUAGCCAUUGUCUCUCCAGUCAAUCUAUUGACUAUUACCUAACUUAAUAACACAGGAAGCAGAGGCAAACACUUGGAGGUGCCCAGAAUCGUGUUGUUCCAAUGUGGCUCUUUUCUCCCUCACCUGCAAUCUGCAUGCAACUCCAGAGACCUAUUAUGUGUGACCCUUCCUUCUGUCUCCUCAUUGAGACCAACUCAGAAGCAACCCAUGGAUCCCAUGAGUUCAGUGACCCACCAGCUGCUUAUAGAUCUGCUGUCUGGCAGCCUCAUAUACAGCAUCGUGGCAAAACCUCCUGGACAUCCCUACACUGUGUCCCUGCACCAGAUAUCAGGGACCACAUCGAAGUACGGUGGUGCCACGCCCAAAGUCACAAGGAACAUGUGACAUGGUCAGGCCUGCACCUCCAGCACAGCAUCCCUCUUGCCAAGGAUGAGAAGGAGAACAGCUCGGUACAGCCAUCCCUGCUGACAAACAGGAAAGCCACCAACCAGGAAGGGAAUAGGAAGGGAAGGGGUGCAGCCCCCAGGGGAAUCUCAUUCUCUUCACAGUGUACGGGAUAUGCAAAAGCGACAAGAGGGUUGAAGCCUGGGUUACUGGGUCUGUGAUAUUGGUUUAGUCUUCCCAGGUGGCUUUGGGAGAAGCAGCAUUGUCCCCAGACCUGCUUUUCUGCACAGAUGUCCAAAAUGCAGUAAAGGGAAAAGGCAGGGCUGGGCUUACCUUGGGAACACAGAGGCUGCUGAGCGUCAAGGGUUGAACUAUUUUAGUGAAGAGAAACACCUUCACACCAGUGCCUCCCACAUUCACCUCCACCUCUCAAAGCUCUAACUACAUUAUUCUUUAGAGCAGCCCCAACCACAGAGUAGCUGCACGUGGGGAUAAAGGUGAGUCAGGAGUCACCUGACGGGUUUCAGCUACAUCUAGGAGAGUUUAAGUGAUAUGCUCUCUCUUCCAGACCCUGAGCAGGGACAGCAACAUUGUGUGUGUGUGUGUGUGUGUGUGUGUGUGUGUGUGUAAGAGAGAGAGAGAGAGACAGAGAGAGAGACAGAGAGACAGAGAGAGAGCGCGCAAAAGAGUGAGUGGGAGAACCAGAGAGAGAGGAUAGCGACAGGUAUGUAGAGAUGUGAAUGAGAGACAUGAACACAUCAGACUGAGUACAAGAGAUCAAUUAUUCUGUGGUUGGGUCCCCUUUCUUACUCAAUGUGCAUAUUCACUACUUAAUACAAAUCUAAUUUGUAUUAUUGUCAUUAUUAUUAUUAUUAUUAUUAUUAUUAGUGAUCUGAUGUCAUUUAUAAAAAAUCCCCCAUUAUUUUCUUUCCACAUCACCAUACAAAGCCACUGACCAAUACAAUCUGCGACAUCCCAGCUACUGUCUAAGUGAAAUUACACUUUCCUCAGAGGGCUGAAUACAAAGAAAGCCUUCAGCCUCACACCUCUGACAGAUCUGUCUGGCCUUUUCCUCACACUGCAAAAGAGCAGCUGAGUGGCCAGGACGCUACAGACAGGCCCUGUGGCAAGCACUCACUCACAAGCCACUGUAGACUAGUUUUUACAGCCAAAGUGAGGCACGCUGUAGGCAUUCGUCUUUUGUCUUCCCACUCAGAUUCCCCUCUCAGGUAUGCAAGGCUUCUGUCGAUCAUCUAUCAAGUUUACUAAAAAUCUUCACGUGUAAUAAAAUAUCUCAUCAAA